GUACAGUCUUGGGUAAGGUGCUCUGAGGUCUUCAAGGCAGUGUUGUCAUAUUGAAGGAGCAGACUGCAUGUUAGACACUGAAAAAGACCUCUGAUUACUCUGAGGAUGACACUGUCACCCACUCAGGGUCGAGCUGAGAAAACCUUGUCCAUGAGUUGUGAUGUAACUAUGCUUCAUCUUCAGAAGCCGUCGUGGUGGCUACAGCCAAACAGCAAGCCCAGAGGAGCAACAGGUAGGGACAAAGACACAAACAGAGGUAGCUAUAAAAGCAACAUCCACUGAAUGAGGCCAACAAACACCAAGGCAGCAGGAAAAUGAUUACCAAGAAGAAUGAGGUGCCAUUUCAUCAGAAGGAAGGAGAAAGGAUUGGGGUGUCAGCACCCUAGUAACUGUACUGGAAUCAUGGAGUUGGAAAGUCAUUAUCUACUCAAAGAGACAAUCCAGUCUCCUGCUUCUCUGUUUAUUUAUUCAUUCAUGUUGCAAAUCCUGAGUGAGUGCCUACUGCAUACCGGCAAUAUUAGGUUCUCCUUAAAUUCUGUUUGCGGCUGGAAGUGAUCCUAGACACCUCUGGCUCAGCUUCCCAACUCAUGCAGGAGAGGAACCUGAAGCUUAGAUAGAUUAUGGAACUCGCUCGAGAUCAUACAAGAAGUGGCAAUGCUGGGAUUUGAGCCCACGAUUGACAAAGCUUUUAUUCUUUGCAUUCUACCAUGCUGCCUCCAAAUAGGUCAAAUGACUAGAAAAAGAGAUUUAGGUUCAUAAUUGUCACUAUGCAUUUUUCCUACUAUGGGAACAAUUAUGAACAAUUCCAUAUGUGUCCAAUUUUAUAACAAUAAAGCGCAAAAGAACAUCUGUAUCUUUCUGUUGUAGGGUAGCAGCCUUGAAAUUUGUAUCUUGGUUUAUUGUAUUAGAUAUUUCUUGAAAUAAGCAGACCUUAAUUGAAAAGUGGAAAAUGUUUAUCAUAUCUAAUAUGAAUAUUUUUAAAUAAAUAAUUUUACUUAAGGAAUU
rnacentral:lncRNA from 1 species